AAAUCCGCUUUGAUAAUGCUGGGAUGUGAUGGGGAGCGAAAUUUAGUAGCGAAGUAGCUGAUUUCACACUGUCAAGAAAAGUCUCUAUCGAGGUUAAAGGUACCCGUACCGCAAACCGACACAGGUGGGUGAGGAGAGUAUCCUAAGGCCAGCGAGAGAACUGUUGUUAAGGAACUCGGCAAAAUGACCCCGUAACUUAGGGAUAAGGGGUGCCACCAUCAGGUGGCCGCAGAGAAUAGGCCCAAGCGACUGUUUACCAAAAACAUAGGUUUCUGCUAAGUCGCAAGACGAUGUAUAGGAGCUGACGCCUGCCCGGUGCUGGAAGGUUAAGGGGAUCUGUUAGAGCAAUCGAAGCAGUGAACUUAAGCCCCAGUAAACGGCGGCCGUAACUAUAACGGUCCUAAGGUAGCGAAAUUCCUUGUCGGGUAAGUUCCGACCCGCACGAAAGGCGUAACGAUUUGGGCACUGUCUCAACAACAGACUCGGUGAAAUUGUAAUUCCGGUGAAGAUGCCGGAUACCUGCGACAGGACGGAAAGACCCCAUGGAGCUUUACUGUAGCUUGACAUUGGGUCUUGGUACUACAUGUACAGGAUAGGUGGGAGGCUUUGAAACCAGGACGCCAGUUUUGGCGGAGCCAUCCUUGGGAU
rnacentral:rRNA from 1 species